rnacentral:tRNA from 1 species
UUACAAAUGCGAUGCUCUAACCUNUGAGCUAAGCGGGC